rnacentral:lncRNA from 1 species
GGUCCUUGCUUUCAUGGAGUUUGUGACAAUAAACAAGUAGAGAAGUAAACAAGCGAGAUAAUUACAGACUAUUGGAAGUGCUAAGAAAAACAAGUAAAGAAAUGAGAUAGUCAUUGGGAAGCCUAUUUUUGAUAGAAUGGGUCAGGGCAGAUACUCUAAGGAGGCCACGCUGAAGCUAAGACAUGAAGAUUGAGAAGAAGCCAGUCAUGGAAAAAGCUAGGAGAAUAAGUAAUUCAGGCAGAGGGAACAGCAUGUGCAAAGGUCCUAAGGCAAGAAACUUCUAGAAACCAGCAACAGAGAAGUCAGAUUCUAUGGGACUCUAGAGCCAUAUUACAUGGUCUGAUAUUUAUUCUAGGAUAAGAGGGAGCUACUGAAGAAUUUUAAAUGAAGGAAUAAUAGAUGACCUGACUUAUAUUGUUUAACCAUCUCCCUGGCUGGUACGGGAAAACAUUGAGCGGAAGCAGGAGAAAUGGGAGUAAGGGAGGAGAGAGGAAGCUGGUGCCCUGUCUAGGCAAGAGGUCAUGGACUUGGGUUGGCCCUGGUGGUUACAGAGGAAAUGCAGAAAAAUGAUCAGAUUCUAGAGCUGUGGGUGAAAUUGAC